GAUGAACGCUGGCGGCGUGCCUAAUACAUGCAAGUCGAGCGAACAGAUGAGGAGCUUGCUCCUCUGACGUUAGCGGCGGACGGGUGAGUAACACGUGGAUAACCUACCUAUAAGACUGGGAUAACUUCGGGAAACCGGAGCUAAUACCGGAUAAUAUAUUGAACCGCAUGGUUCAAUAGUGAAAGACGGUUUUGCUGUCACUUAUAGAUGGAUCCGCGCCGCAUUAGCUAGUUGGUAAGGUAACGGCUUACCAAGGCAACGAUGCGUAGCCGACCUGAGAGGGUGGUCGGCCACACUGGAACUGAGACACGGUCCAGACUCCUACGGGAGGCAGCAGUAGGGAAUCUUCCGCAAUGGGCGAAAGCCUGACGGAGCAGCGCCGCGUGAGUGAUGAAGGUCUUCGGAUCGUAAAACUCUGUUAUUAGGGAAGAACAAAUGUGUAAGUAACUAUGCACGUCUUGACGGUACCUAAUCAGAAAGCCACGGCUAACUACGUG
rnacentral:rRNA from 1 species